rnacentral:rRNA from 2 species
UACGGAGGGGGCUAGCGUUGUUCGGAAUUACUGGGCGUAAAGCGCACGUAGGCGGACCAGAAAGUUGGGGGUGAAAUCCCGGGGCUCAACCUCGGAACUGCCUUCAAAACUAUUGGUCUGGAGUUCGAGAGAGGUGAGUGGAAUUCCGAGUGUAGAGGUGAAAUUCGUAGAUAUUCGGAGGAACACCAGUGGCGAAGGCGGCUCACUGGCUCGAUACUGACGCUGAGGUGCGAAAGCGUGGGGAGCAAAC